AAACCCGCAUCGUGGGGAAAAGGCUCCAUGUAAUACAAGUUCCUACUCUUGCCUUCUUGCAGUCAGAAUGUAGGCUGAGGAAGGGAAGCGCUCCCCAGGCCGGGCUUUGGCUCGGCUGAAGAAUCACCUUCCUGGUUAUUAGCCUACCUGGUGAGUGGGAUCUGGCGGAGGUGCCAAAAACUGGAUUCAACUGGCAGGGACGGCGUUGAGGGUGCUUCCUGCCCCCAGCUGCAGGGCCUCUGGGCUCCCAGAAGGAACUACUCAGUGGUGGUGACGCUGCUGCUGCCUGUGGGGGACGAGCCCCUGGACGUGACCUGGGUGACCAGCUACCUGGUGGAGGAGAAGCUGCCGUGGCCGCUCUGAGAGCUGUGUGGGGCCAACGUGCUGGCCGAGUUCUACCGGCUCGAAUGCCACCUGCCGCAGGGUCCCUGGGAGUGUAUGAGACCUCAGCGCCCAGUGCGGCAGCGUCCUGCUGGCCCAAGACUUGGCUCACAACACAUUCUCCCUGAUGCUGAGUCGGACAGGCUCGGGGCUCACGGCCCUGACCAUGGAGCUGAAUCAUAUGACCCUCAUCUUCUACCCAGCCUGCAGGCUGUACAACUCCUCCCUGCUGGGGGAGAGCUGUCCAGACCUCCAGCUGCCUCCUGCCCUGACAAGGAGGUACGUCUCCAGGAUUGA
rnacentral:lncRNA from 1 species